UACGUAGGGGGCAAGCGUUGUCCGGAUUUAUUGGGCGUAAAGAGCGUGUAGGCGGCCAGGUAGGUGGGUUGUGAAAACUGGAGGCUCAACCUUCAGAGGUCGACCCAAACCCCUGGCUAGAGUCCGGAAGAGGAGAGUGGAAUUCUGGUGUAGCGGUGAAAUGCGCAGAGUAUCAGGAAGGAACACCCGUGGCGAAGGCAGGCUCUCUGGGACGGUACUGACGCUGAGACGCGAAGCGUGGGGAGCAAACGGAUAGAUCCCGUGGAG
rnacentral:rRNA from 1 species